ACGGGUUGGCUAAAUGAGC
rnacentral:miRNA from 1 species